AACGAACGCUGGCGGCAGGCUUAACACAUGCAAGUCGAACGCCCGUAGCAAUACGGGAGUGGCGGACGGGUGAGUAACGCGUGGGAACGUACCCUGAGGUACGGAAUAACCGAGGGAAACUUCGGCUAAUACCGUAUGAGCCCCGCAAGGGGGAAGAUUUAUCGCCUUGGGAGCGGCCCGCGUCGGAUUAGCUAGUUGGUGGGGUAACGGCCUACCAAGGCUUCGAUCCGUAGCUGGUCUGAGAGGACGAUCAGCCACACUGGGACUGAGACACGGCCCAGACUCCUACGGGAGGCAGCAGUGGGGAAUCUUGCGCAAUGGGGGCAACCCUGACGCAGCCAUGCCGCGUGAACGAUGAAGGCCUUAGGGUUGUAAAGUUCUUUUACCCGUGACGAUGAUGACGGUAACGGGGGAAUAAGCUCCGGCUAACUUCGUG
rnacentral:rRNA from 1 species